rnacentral:misc_RNA from 1 species
AACUGAUACUACCUGCGGGAACCUGCGGAAGGAUCAUUACAGAAAGAUGUAGGGUUUGAGACUGCGUUCUUAGUAGCGUGUGCUCGACCCUUGUUCUUUGUCCCCACACCUUUGUGCACCAUGGGAGGACUCUGUUCUCCCCUUAUUUACACAAAUACCUAGUUAUAUGCAUGUCUAGUACAACUCUACGGAGUUAAUGUACAACUUUUAGCAACGGAUCUCUAGAUCGGAAGAGCACAC